rnacentral:rRNA from 1 species
UGCCCUGCUUCCAGGAAAAGCCUCUAAGCAUCAGGUAACAUCAAAUCGUACCCCAAACCGACACAGGUGGUCAGGUAGAGUAUACCAAGGCGCUUGAGAGAACUCGGGUGAAGGAACUAGGCAAAAUGGUGCCGUAACUUCGGGAGAAGGCACGCUGAUAUGUAGGUGAAGCGACUUGCUCGUGGAGCUGAAAUCAGUCGAAGAUACCAGCUGGCUGCAACUGUUUAUUAAAAACACAGCACUGUGCAAACACGAAAGUGGACGUAUACGGUGUGACGCCUGCCCGGUGCCGGAAGGUUAAUUGAUGGGGUUAGCGCAAGCGAAGCUCUUGAUCGAAGCCCCGGUAAACGGCGGCCGUAACAAUAACGGUCCUAAGGUAGCGAAAUUCCUUGUCGGGUAAGUUCCGACCUGCACGAAUGGCGUAAUGAUGUGUAGG